UACGUAGGUGACCAGCGUUGUCCGGAUUUACUGGGCGUAAAGAGCGCGCAGGCGGUCGUUCAAGUCGAGUGUGAAAGCCCCCGGCUCAACUGGGGAGGGUCAUUCGAUACUGAUCGACUGGAAGGCAGGAGAGGGAAGCGGAAUUCCGGGUGUAGCGGUGAAAUGCGUAGAUAUCCGGAGGAACACCGGUGGCGAAGGCGGCUUCCUGGACCGAUACUGACGCUGAGGCGCGAAAGCUAGGGGAGCAAACGGG
rnacentral:rRNA from 1 species